GAUGAACGCUGGCGGCGUGCCUAAUACAUGCAAGUCGAGCGAAUGGAUUAAGAGCUUGCUCUUAUGAAGUUAGCGGCGGACGGGUGAGUAACACGUGGGUAACCUGCCCAUAAGACUGGGAUAACUCCGGGAAACCGGGGCUAAUACCGGAUAAUAUUUUGAACUGCAUGGUUCAAAAUUGAAAGGCGGCUUCGGCUGUCACUUAUGGAUGGACCCGCGUCGCAGUAGGUAGUUGGUGAGGUAACGGCUCACCAAGGCAACGAUGCGUAGCCGACCUGAGAGGGUGAACGGCCACACUGGGACUGAGCCACGGCACAGACUCCUACGGGAGGCAGCAGUAGGGAAUCUUCCGCAAUGGACGAAAGUCUGACGGAGCAACGCCGCGUGAGUGAUGAAGGCUUUCGGGUCGAAAAACUCUGUUGUUAGGGAAGAACAAGUGCUAGUUGAAUAAGCUGGCACCUUGACGGUACCUAGCCAGAAAGCCACGGCUAACUACGUGCCAGCCGCCGCCGUAA
rnacentral:rRNA from 1 species